rfam:Caenorhabditis briggsae complete genome, chrI
CCAACGGCCUUCUUUAAGGCCACAAAAGCCAAAAAUCCAUAGUUCA